rnacentral:rRNA from 1 species
UUCCUACGGGAGGCAGCAGUGGGGAAUAUUGCACAAUGGGGGAAACCCUGAUGCAGCAACGCCGCGUGAGUGAUGACGGCCUUCGGGUUGUAAAGCUCUGUCUUCAGGGACGAUAAUGUCGGUAGCUGAGGAGGAAGCCACGGCUAACUACGUGCCAGCAGCCGCGGGAAUACGUAGGUGGCGAGCGUUGUCUGGAUUUACUGGGCGUAAAGGGAGCGUAGGGGGACUAUUAAGUGAGAUGUGAAAUACUCGGGCUCAACUU